GACGAACGCUGUCGGCGUGCUUAACACAUGCAAGUCGAACGGAAAGGCCCUGCUUUUGUGGGGUGCUCGAGUGGCGAACGGGUGAGUAACACGUGAGUAACCUGCCCUUGACUUUGGGAUAACUUCAGGAAACUGGGGCUAAUACCGGAUAGGAGCUCCUGCUGCAUGGUGGGGGUUGGAAAGUUUCGGCGGUUGGGGAUGGACUCGCGGCUUAUCAGCUUGUUGGUGGGGUAGUGGCUUACCAAGGCUUUGACGGGUAGCCGGCCUGAGAGGGUGACCGGCCACAUUGGGACUGAGAUACGGCCCAGACUCCUACGGGAGGCAGCAGCGGGGAAUAUUGCACAAUGGGCGGAAGCCUGAUGCAGCAACGCCGCGUGCGGGAUGACGGCCUUCGGGUUGUAAACCGCUUUCGCCUGUGACGAAGCGUGAGUGACGGUAAUGGGUAAAGAAGCACCGGCUAACUACGUG
rnacentral:rRNA from 1 species